CGUACCCUUCGGUUCGGAAUAACUCAGGGAAACUUGAGCUAAUACCGGAUACGCCCUUUUGGGGAAAGGUUUACUGCCGAAGGAUCGGCCCGCGUCUGAUUAGCUUGUUGGUGGGGUAACGGCCUACCAAGGCGACGAUCAGUAGCUGGUCUGAGAGGAUGAUCAGCCACACUGGGACUGAGACACGGCCCAGACUCCUACGGGAGGCAGCAGCGGGGAAUAUUGGACAAUGGGCGCAAGCCUGAUCCAGCCAUGCCGCGUGAGUGAUGAAGGCCUUAGGGUUGUAAAGCUCUUUUGUCCGGGACGAUAAUGACGGUACCGGAAGAAUAAGCCCCGGCUAACUUCGUGCCAGCAGCCGCGGUAAUACGAAGGGGGCUAGCGUUGCUCGGAAUCACUGGGCGUAAAGGGCGCGUAGGCGGCCGAUUAAGUCGGGGGUGAAAGCCUGUGGCUCAACCACAGAAUUGCCUUCGAUACUGGUUGGCUUGAGACCGGAAGAGGACAGCGGAACUGCGAGU
rnacentral:rRNA from 1 species